rnacentral:rRNA from 1 species
GACGAACGCUGGCGGCGUGCUUAACACAUGCAAGUCGAACGGUAAGGCCCUUCGGGGUACACGAGUGGCGAACGGGUGAGUAACACGUGGGUGAUCUGCCCUGCACUUCGGGAUAAGCCUGGGAAACUGGGUCUAAUACCGGAUAGGACCCUGGGAUGCAUGUCCUGGGGUGGAAAGCUUUUGCGGUGUGGGAUGGGCCCGCGGCCUAUCAGCUUGUUGGUGGGGUGAUGGCCUACCAAGGCGACGACGGGUAGCCGGCCUGAGAGGGUGACCGGCCAAACUGGGGAUGAGAUACGGCCCAGACUCCUACGGGAGGCAGCAGUGGGGAAUAUUGCACAAUGGGCGCAAGCCUGAUGCAGCGACGCCGCGUGAGGGAUAACGGCCUUCGGGUUGUAAACCUCUUUCAGCACCGACGAAGCGCAAGUGACGGUAGGUGCAGAAGAAGGACCGGCCAACUACGUGCCAGCCGCCGCAGUAA